CGAUGAUGAUUUAAUGGUGUUUACUCCUUUACAGGAUUCUUGUCUUUAAAGCUGUGUGUUUUUCAAUGGUGUUGUUCAUACAUAUAGUCACUCACUUAACUUGGGCUACUUUAAAAAAAAAUACACAAGAUAAAAUUGAUGGAGAAAUGGUGGGAAUUGAAAACACGCAGGUGGAGCAGUGGAGUAACCUUGAGUUUCUCUCUCCACUUAAACCUUUCAGAGUUCCUUUAUGAGGGCUUACCAAAUCUGUUAGGCCUGCGGAAACACUGUCAUCAUUAUGUUCUAAAAGGGCUAACAGAUUAUCUUUAAAUUCUAUGAUUCCCACUUGAAAGUCAGAUGCAUUUGCCAUGUAUUUGCAUCUGUCUCAAUGGAGAUGACUCUACAGCUUGCUUGAAUUUUUGCAUUUGUUUUUUCUUUGUUUUUCUUGACAUUGCUUACAGGAAGGAAAUAUGUUUAUGCAAACCAGACCACUUAUCUGCAAAGGUGUAAACUAUAUUCAGUAUUUUAUUGUAAAUAUGUAUAUUCUUUAAGAGUAUAUAUUGUACUAGUGCUUUUUUUCUUACUGUUAUAUGAUAGAAGCUAUGAAAAAAAUGAAGAUUUCUUUCAAGCCAAUCAAGCCAACGACUCUUCAGCCAGUAUUGGAAGAUUUUGUAUUUGAUUUUGGUUUUUUGUUUUUGUUUUUUAAUUUUUACCACCAUGACAUGUAUUUUUCUUUACCUCCGGAUCCUGCCAGAGUAAUAUGUCAAGAAGCUCAAGAAGCACACUGGAGGUUACCUUGAGGCGUUUGUGUAAUCUGCAUACUAGUGGAGUAGCCAUGGUGACCGUAGCCACAUGGGUGUUCUGUUGCUGUUUUGCAGGUUCAAACCUUGUACUACUCAGCUGAUCACAAGCUGCUUGAUGGGAACCUACUAGAUGGACAGGCUGAGGUGUUUGGCAGUGAUGAUGACCACAUUCAGUUUGUGCAGAAAAAGCCACCACGUGAGAAUGGCCAUAAGCAGAUAAGUAGCAGUUCAACUGGAUGUCUCUCUUCUCCAAAUGCUACAGUACAAAGCCCUAAGCAUGAGUGGAAAAUCGUUGCUUCAGAAAAGACUUCAAAUAACACUUACUUGUGCCUGGCUGUGCUGGAUGGUAUAUUCUGUGUCAUUUUUCUUCACGGGAGAAACAGCCCACAGAGCUCACCAACAAGUACUCCAAAACUAAGUAAGAGUUUAAGCUUUGAGAUGCAACAAGAUGAGCUAAUCGAAAAGCCCAUGUCUCCUAUGCAGUACGCACGAUCUGGUCUGGGAACAGCAGAGAUGAAUGGCAAACUCAUAGCUGCAGGUGGCUAUAACAGAGAGGAAUGUCUUCGAACAGUCGAAUGCUAUAAUCCACAUACAGAUCACUGGUCCUUUCUUGCUCCCAUGAGAACACCAAGAGCCCGAUUUCAAAUGGCUGUACUCAUGGGCCAGCUCUAUGUGGUAGGUGGAUCGAAUGGCCACUCAGAUGACCUGAGUUGUGGAGAGAUGUAUGAUUCAAACAUAGAUGACUGGAUUCCUGUUCCAGAAUUGAGAACUAACCGUUGUAAUGCAGGAGUGUGUGCUCUGAAUGGAAAGUUAUACAUCGUUGGUGGCUCUGAUCCAUAUGGUCAAAAAGGACUGAAAAAUUGUGAUGUAUUUGAUCCUGUAACAAAGUUGUGGACAAGCUGUGCUCCUCUUAACAUUCGGAGACACCAGUCUGCAGUCUGUGAGCUUGGUGGUUAUUUGUACAUAAUCGGAGGUGCAGAAUCUUGGAAUUGUCUGAACACAGUAGAACGAUACAAUCCUGAAAAUAAUACCUGGACUUUAAUUGCACCCAUGAAUGUGGCUAGGCGAGGAGCUGGAGUGGCUGUUCUUAAUGGAAAACUGUUUGUAUGUGGUGGCUUUGAUGGUUCUCAUGCCAUCAGUUGUGUGGAAAUGUAUGAUCCAACUAGAAAUGAAUGGAAGAUGAUGGGAAAUAUGACUUCACCAAGGAGCAAUGCUGGGAUUGCAACUGUAGGGAACACCAUUUAUGCAGUGGGAGGAUUCGAUGGCAAUGAAUUUCUGAAUACGGUGGAAGUCUAUAACCUUGAGUCAAAUGAAUGGAGCCCCUAUACAAAGAUUUUCCAGUUUUAACAAAUUUAAGACCCUCUCAAACUAACAGGCUUAGUGAUGUAAUUAUGGUUAGUAGAGGUACACUUGUGAAUAAAGAGGGUGGGUGGGUAUAGAUGUUGCUAACAGCAACACAAAGCUUUUGCAUAUUGCAUAUUAUUAAACAUGCUGUACAUACUUUUUGUGUUUAUUUGGAAAGGAAUGCAAAGAUGAAGGUCUGUUUUGUGUACUUUUAAGACUUUGGUUAUUUUACUUUUUGGAAAAGAAUAAACCAAGAAUUGAUUGGGCACAUCAUUUCAAGAAGUCCCCUCUCCUCCACAUUUGUUUUGCCAAUUUGCACAUUAAAUGACUCUUCCCUCAAAUGUGUACUAUGGGGUAAAAGGGGUAGGGUUUAAAGAUGUAGACAGUUGGGUUUUUUAAGGGCCCUUUUUCAAUAACUGGAACACUCUAUAACAAAGGAUACUUAUUUAAAUAGAUGACAUUGACUAUUUUUGUUUUUAUUAAAAGGAAGCUUACAUGCCUACCAAUAUUUAAUCUUUUAUGAUUGCCUUUUUAUAACUUUUUAUAUUCUCAGCAGAGUGCUUUACCAAUUGAAGUAAAAUGUGGCAGGCUGGAGUUAUUGAAGCAGAAUGGCAGUCUUCAGUUUGCAGAGUAGGGGUCUGUCUUUUAAACUCUGAGUGCAAACUUCAGAGUUCUUGCCUUGGCUGCAGUUUUUUUCCUUCAAGAAUGCAGUACUAACAUUUAUUUGAGUGGAGUUACUGAACAGUAACAUAGCUGUGAUUUUUGGUAUUUGAAACACUGGUUUUAAAUAUUUUGACUUGUUGAGGGUAUGUUUUAUAUAGCAAGACAUUAUAUAGCAGUAAAAAAUGGUGUUUUAUCUUCUAUAUAAUUCCUGUUUUUAUUAUUAACAAAACAGUCCUAAAUAGCAGCCCUCAAUUGUGAAAAAAAUUACUUUAAACUACAUUAGGUUGUGAAUGCAGGUUUUAUCAGAACUAUGUUUUUGUUCAGUUUAUCUGUUCAUAUGGAUAAAUAUUGGUUGGGAUGACUUGGUGUCUAAUGUGUAGUGCUACACACCUAACUUAUGGGGCCAAAAUAGCAUGUCCUAAUGCUUGCUGCUGAUUUAAACACAUUAAAGGUACUUUGCAGGAAAUCCUUGCACCAUGGGAUUAAUAUCCAAUUGCUGCUUGUACACUCAUUCAUUACUAAAAGUAUUGAGAAAUUUUUUUUCCAGUAAUGAGCUUAAGAAAUUUGUGGAAAAUAACUCACCUGGCAUCUUACAUCUGAAAUAAGGAAUGAUAUAAGGUUUUUUUUUCUCACAGAAGAUGAAGCACACAGGAACCUAAUGGGCCAACUGGGAUGAGAUGACUAUUCUGAGAUGACUAUUCAGUGGCUAACUUGGGUUAGGAAGAAAAUAAUUAGGUAUUUUCUCCAAAUGUUCACUGGUACUCUGCCACUUUAUUUCUCUCAUCUAUUACACAAAGAAAGAACCACCAGGAAAGGAAAUCAGUUUGGUUGGUAACUCUGUAAUUCCUAACUAUCACUGGUUUGGUUCUGGACUAAAACUACAUUGACAGAUUGAAUUUGCCUAAUAUGAUGACUGUUUUUAAUAUGGAUCUGUAUGUGUUCUAUUCAGCACAAGGAAAUAAAAUUUUAGUUGAGGAUUCAGCACUAAAA
rnacentral:sRNA from 1 species